AUACGGAGGGGGCUAGCGUUGUUCGGAUUUACUGGGCGUAAAGCGCGCGUAGGCGGUAUAUCAAGUUAGGCGUGAAAGCCCCGGGCUCAACCCGGGAACUGCGCUUAUUACUGAUAAACUAGAGUCCGGGAGAGGGUGGCGGAAUUCCCAGUGUAGAGGUGAAAUUCGUAGAUAUUGGGAGGAACACCGGUGGCGAAGGCGGCUCACUGGACCAUUACUGACGCUGAGAUGCGAAAGCUAGGGGAGCGAACGGGAUUAGAUACCCCGGUAGUCC
rnacentral:rRNA from 1 species